UACGGAGGGUGCAAGCGUUAUCCGGAUUCACUGGGUUUAAAGGGUGCGUAGGCGGGCAGAUAAGUCAGUGGUGAAAUCCCCGAGCUUAACUUGGGAACUGCCAUUGAUACUAUUUGUCUUGAAUGUCGUGGAGGUUAGCGGAAUAUGUCAUGUAGCGGUGAAAUGACUUAGAUAUGACAUAGAACACCCAAUUGCGAAGGCAGCUAACUAACGCGAAUAUUGACGCUGAGGCGCGAAAGCGUGGGGAUCAAACAGG
rnacentral:rRNA from 1 species